rnacentral:rRNA from 1 species
UAGGGAAUAUUGCACAAUGGGCGAAAGCCUGAUGCAGCAACGCCGCGUGCGCGAUGAAGGCCUUCGGGUUGUAAAGCGCUUUUCGGGGAGAUGAGGAAGGACAGUAUCCCCGGAAUAAGGCUCGGCUAACUACGUGCCAGCAGCCGCGGUAAAACGUAGGAGCCAAGCGUUAUCCGAAUUCACUGGGCGUAAAGCGCGUGCAGGCGGCGCAAUAAGUUGGAUGUGAAAUCUCCUGGCUCAACUGGGAGAGGACGUUCAAUACUGUUGGGCUAGAGGGCGACAGAGGAAGGUGGAAUUCCCGGUGUAGUGGUGAAAUGCGUAGAUAUCGGGAGGAACACCAGUGGCGAAAGCGGCCUUCUGGGUCGCACCUGACGCUCAGACGCGAAAGCUAGGGGAGCAAACGGG